rnacentral:tRNA from 1 species
CAGGCCCUGACCGCAGGACAGGAUUUUCAUCAUGGAUCCGACAUUCGCAGAUUUUAUUCAAU